AUUACGCCUCGACUUCGGUCGAGGAUAAUAUCCAACCUAAGCCCAACUAGUGAAACAAACCAUAACUUGCUUCCCGUGACCUUAGUAGUAAGGGCUCGCUGGUUCUCUAUGAGAACCGCUUUCCCCCAACCUCUGGAAUACUCGGGCAACCAAACCCCUGCAAAACUUGUUUGCGAAGAAUAUGAAAAAUCUUUGUUAGAAAUUUGUCUGAACAGAAAAUUCAAAAAUUUGAAUUA
rnacentral:misc_RNA from 1 species